AUUGAACGCUGGCGGCAGGCCUAACACAUGCAAGUCGAGCGGAUGAAGGGAGCUUGCUCCUGGAUUCAGCGGCGGACGGGUGAGUAAUGCCUAGGAAUCUGCCUGGUAGUGGGGGAUAACGUCCGGAAACGGGCGCUAAUACCGCAUACGUCCUGAGGGAGAAAGUGGGGGAUCUUCGGACCUCACGCUAUCAGAUGAGCCUAGGUCGGAUUAGCUAGUUGGUGGGGUAAAGGCCUACCAAGGCGACGAUCCGUAACUGGUCUGAGAGGAUGAUCAGUCACACCUGAACUGAGACACGGUCCAGACUCCUACGGGAGGCAGCAGUGGGGAAUAUUGGACAAUGGGCGAAAGCCUGAUCCAGCCAUGCCGCGUGUGUGAAGAAGGUCUUCGGAUUGUAAAGCACUUUAAGUUGGGAGGAAGGGCAGUAAGUUAAUACCUUGCUGUUUUGACGUUACCAACAGAAUAAGCACCGGCUAACUUCGUG
rnacentral:rRNA from 1 species